rnacentral:rRNA from 1 species
AUACGUAGGGUGCGAGCGUUAAUCGGAAUUACUGGGCGUAAAGCGUGCGCAGGUGGUUUUGUAAGUCAGAUGUGAAAUCCCCGGGCUUAACCUGGGAACUGCGUUUGAAACUGCAAGGCUAGAGUGUGGCAGAGGGGGGUGGAAUUCCGCGUGUAGCAGUGAAAUGCGUAGAGAUGUGGAGGAACACCGAUGGCGAAGGCAGCCCCCUGGGUCAGCACUGACGCUCAGGCACGAAAGCAUGGGGAGCAAACAGAAUUAGAUACCCCAGUAGUCC